rnacentral:lncRNA from 1 species
UUUUCCCUGUUGAAGACUAACGAUAAUUUGUUGUAUAUUAUCUUAGUCAUAAUAUUCUUUACUGGGCUAGUUGAGCUCACCCUUUUCCUUUUUGUUCCAUUUUUCUUCUCAGGAGGCGAGAAUAUAGCGAGUACGAGUUGGGGUGUGGAAUGAUGGUUCUAGAAGUUGUUUUAGUAGUCCUCACCAUUUUUGUAUAAUAAUGUACCAAUAAUUGUAAUGAGGACUUAGUUGGGUAUGGAUAUUGUUUAGAUGAUAAUAUUUGUAUUUAAACUCACAGUUUAUAUGUUGUAUUAAUAAGAUUGUAGUCGUUUCUGUACCUUGUAUUUUGGCGACUCAGAAUGGGUGUUGUAUACCUAUUUUGGGGGCAUCACAUGAUAAGUCACUCAGUUUUAUUUUAUUAGUAUUAUUAAUGUAAUAAAACAGAAAAACUUUUUAUAUAAAAC